rnacentral:rRNA from 1 species
AGGGUUUGAUCAUGGCUCAGGACGAACGCUGGCGGUGCGCCUUAUGCAUGCAAGUUGAGCGAAGCUUUUUGGUAGUUUACUACUAGAAAUGACUGAGCGGCGAACGGGUGAGUAACGCGUGAGCAAUCUACCUUAGUUACUGGGAUAGCCCGAGGAAACUCGGAUUAAUACCGGAUAUUCUUAUUUUUUCACAUGAAGUUUUAAGGAAAGGUCAGCCGAACUAAGAUGAGCUCGCGUUCUAUCAGCUAGUUGGUGGGGUAAAAGCCUACCAAGGCUACGACGGAUAGCUGGUCUGAGAGGACGAUCAGCCACACUGGGACUGAGACGCGGCCCAGACUCCUACGGGAGGCUGCAGCAGGGAAUAUUGUGCAAUGAGCGAAAGCUUGACACAGCGACACCGCGUGUGGGAUGACGGUUCUAGGAUUGUAAACCACUUUCAGGAGGGAAGAAAAUGACGGUACCUCCACAAGAAGACCCGGCCAACUAUGUGCCAGCAGCCGCGGUAA